rnacentral:rRNA from 1 species
AUAAUUAAUAUUAAUUAAAAUUAAAUAAUUAAUAAAUUUAAGUUUUUUAUUUUAAAAAAUAAAAUUAUUAUUUUUAUAGUAAAUUAGUAUUGUAGAAGAAUUAAUUAAAUUUUUAUAAGAAAUUUUAUAUUAAUGUACCUUGUGUAUCAGGGUUUAUUAAAAUUAAUAAAAUAUUUUAUAGUCCCGAUUUUAAAAGAGCUAAUUUUAUAAGUUAUUUAUUGUAGAAUAAAUAUUUUUUAUAUAAAUAUAGAAGUUAGACGUUAGACGAGUUUAAAUAUAUCUGGUUAUUAAAGAAAUAAAUUUAAUUUAACUAUAAGUAAAGAUAUAAAUAUAUAUUUAUAUAUUAAAUUCUUACUUAUAAUAAAAAUUUUAGGGGAUAAGCUUUAAAAUUUAUUUAUAAAAAUAGAGGUUUAUUUAAUAAUUAUAUUGAAUUAGAAUUUUUUAUUUUAAUAUGUUAUAAUUAAUUUAUUAUAAAAAUAUUAUUUAUUAAGUUUUAUAUAUUUAUUUAAUUGAUUUAUGAAAUUAUUUAUUAGAUGAAAUUAUGAUAAAAUUAGUAUAAAAAUUUAUAUAGAUAAUUUGUUUUGUUAGAUUUUAUAAAGGAAUUUGGCAAUAUAAUUUUUCGCCUGUUUAUUAAAAACAUGUCUUUUUGAUUAUAAUUUAAAGUCUAAUCUGCCCAUUGAGAUUUUAAAAGGCCGCAGUAUUUUGACUGUGCAAAGGUAGCAUAAUAAUUAGUUUUUUAAUUGAAAGCUAGAAUGAAGGAUUGGACGAGAAAAUUACUGUCUCUAUAAAAUUAAUUUUAAACUUUAUUUUUAAGUUAAAAAGCUUAAAUUGUAUUAAUAGACGAGAAGACCCUUUAGAAUUUUAUAUAAUUAGUUAAUUUAAAUUUUAGUAUAUUUAUUUGAUUUAUUAAAUUAUAUUUAGUUGGGGUGAUUGAAAAAUUUAAUAAACUUUUUUUUUUAUUUCUACAUUAAUUUUUGAUUUUUUGAUCCUUAUUAAAGAUUAAAAGAAUAAAUUACCUAAGGGAUAACAGCGUAAUAUUUUUGGAAAGUUCAAAUUGAUAAAAAUGAUUGCGACCUCGAUGUUGGAUUAAAUUUAAUUAUUAGUGUAGAAGCUAAUAAGGGUAGUCUGUUCGACUAUUAAAAAUUUACAUGAUCUGAGUUUAGACCGGUGUAAGCCAGGUCGGUUUCUAUCUUUAAUAAGAAAAAAUUUUUUAGUACGAAAGGACCAAAUAUU